GUUCUGGUUGCUGGGAAGUCCAAGAUCAAGGCAUUGGCAAAUCUGAUGUCCGGAUUGUGCAAGAACUGGCUUCUGGCUCAGGUCCACCCUAGUCACUACAGAAAUGCUAACUAUGCAAGCUCUUAUGAACGUUUUCAGGAGGGUAACUUCACUGGCUCCUUUGUGCCAAGCUUGGCCAUCAGCACCUUCACUGUGUGAGUCCUAGGUCCUGCCCGGGGGCUUCCAUAGAUGUCACAGCAUCUAAGGCAUCUGCCUACUCAGCAUUCUGGUCAGCAGUCUGCUUUCAUAGACUGGAGAGUGUGUCCAUUUCCGUGCCAGGCCAGCAACAACAAAAGUUGUAAUCCUGCCCCGUGAGAGAGCACAGGCGGAGUUCACUAACCAAAAUGACAACAAACACUGGAACUGGGGACUUACUCUAUGGCAUCUGUUCAAACCUCUUAACACCAGAGAUGUUUUCCUGUCUGAUGUAUAAGCCAACCAAGCACAAAUUAAAAGCAG